CAGUAGCCGCGGUAAUACGUAGGGUGCGAGCGUUAAUCGGAAUUACUGGGCGUAAAGCGUGCGCAGGCGGUUGUGUAAGACAGGUGUGAAAUCCCCGGGCUUAACCUGGGAACUGCGCUUGUGACUGCACAGCUAGAGUAUGGCAGAGGGGGGUGGAAUUCCGCGUGUAGCAGUGAAAUGCGUAGAUAUGCGGAGGAACACCGAUGGCGAAGGCAAUCCCCUGGGCCUGCACUGACGCUCUUGCACGAAAGCGUGGGGAGCAAACAGGAUUAGAUACCCCCGUAGUCCCUGUCUCUUAUAC
rnacentral:rRNA from 1 species